rnacentral:sRNA from 1 species
ACAUACCCGCGUUAGUGAUUGAAACGGCAUCCUUUUUUUAAACUAACAAACAUGGCCUUUAUUUAUGGCUUUAAUUUAAAAGAUAGGCACGUACUUUGUGCUGGCUACACCAUUAAAAAAAGAUAUAGUGAAAAGCCAGACCCUUU